AUGCCACGGAGGAGAGUGGGAGCUUCGGGGAGGUUUGGGGAGAAGGGAGCGGGAGGCCCAUUCAUUAUCUUGGAACACGGCAGCCGGGGGCUUCGGGCGGCACCGUGGGAUGGCUUGCCAUGCCAAGCUCAGGUGGAACCGGGCUCAGGGCUGGCAGCCAGGUGGUCUGGAGGCCCGCCAGGAGCAGGGCUGUCCAGAUUGGCCUGGGCCUGGCUGGCUUGUGCCAGUCCACCUGGUGCCAGCUUGGGCGGCCGCCGAGGGCACCCCUGCCUGGCUGGGCCUGGCCUGGAGGACCCUGGCCCGAGAGAGCCCAGGCUCCGCUUACCCACCGUCCUAGGCUGGCACCGCUGUGUCCUGUCUUGUCCUUUAGGAACAGCGGCCUUUGGAGGGCACCGCUGGGGCUUGCGGGCAGCAGGGGCAGCGUUCGGGGCUGGUCCCCUACAGCAGAGGCCACCUGCCGCAUGGCUCAGUUAUCAGCCUCCUGUGCCCACAGGCCCUGAGGCUCCCAUGCCAGCAGGGCAGAGAGGGCGACUGAGUCAAAUCCAGGCUGACCCCAGCCCACUUGUGUUCCCCAAACGCCUGCCUGACCGGAGGCUCGGGUACCCUACAGCCUUCUCAGGAAACAUCAGGGGACCUCACAUGGCCUUCAUCCACACAGUACCCCCCGUCCAGCCCUGCCAGAGGCAUGUGGCAUAGGGCAGAUUUUGCCCCCAGCCAGCUACGUGGCCUUGGACAAGCCGCGUCGUCUUUUGGAGCCAUAAUCCUGAGAAUCGUCAGGUGUCACUGCAGAGAGCGUACGUGACGGGCCCCAGAGUAGAUGGGAGUUCUGUGGGCAGAGGCAGGUCGGGUAGCAAUGAUUCUAGGUCGGAAUGGGAUGCCUGGGACCGCGCCGAGGCACCGCUUCUGGGCCAGUGUCGCGAUGAAGGACGCAGGCUUUGCUCCGUGCAUCCCGGCUGCCCCACUUGCAGCUGUGCGACCCUGGGCAAGGCACCCACCUGGCUGUGUCUUGGUUUCCUCCGGGAGACGGAGGACGCUGCUAGCACCUACCGCAUGGCGCUGCGUUGGGUAAAUGAGGGCACGCGUGAGUUCUAGGAUAACGAACGCUGCGUACGUCGGUCCUAACUGCUUAACAGAAGUCAGCUGCUGUCGUUACUCUUACUGGGGCUCAGAGAGAGGAAGGGACUUGCCCACGGACACGGCCUGCGAUGGAGCUUCGGGACCUCGGCCAGAGCCCCUCCUCUUUCCUCUCCUCCGGGCACUGCUCGUGUCUGCCGGAGGCGCCCGGUGUGCGACCCGCGGGGAGGCCUCCCCUGGGGGGUGGAGGAGGCGUUGGACCAGGCUCUGCCCCCAGCGUGUUCUCUUCCAAGAUGCUUGUGGGCAGGACCUUGUCCGUCUCGUUCCCUGAGGACCCCAGGGCCUGGUACACAGUAGGUGCUCAGAAAUUGCUUGCUACUUGGCCGGCUCGCUGGCUAAAUCAAGGCAGGGCAGGCCAGCGGCUGCUCCUGGGGCUCCCGGUGCUCACUCCCCCAGCUCCCCCACACCUCCAGUUUUUGUGCCUGAUUGGCAGGGUCCCCUGGUUUGGCCCCCCCUUGGUUGCCCUUGGCCCCCACACCCCGCUCUGGCCCCCAGCAGCACCCCCUUGUUCCCC
rnacentral:lncRNA from 12 species